CCUACGGGAGGCAGCAGUGGGGAAUAUUGCACAAUGGGCGAAAGCCUGAUGCAGCAACGCCGCGUGAGCGAUGAAGGCCUUCGGGUCGGAAAGCUCUGUCCUCAAGGAAGAGAAUGACGGUACGUGAGGAGGAAGCCCCGGCGAACUACGUGCCAGCAGCCGCGGUAAUACGUAGGGGGCUAGCGUUAUCCGGAAUUACUGGGCGUAAAGGGUGCGUAGGUGGUUUCUUAAGUCAGAGGUGAAAGGCUCCGGCUCAACCGUAGUCAGCCUUUGAAACUGGGGAACUUGCGUGCAGGCGAGGAGGGUGGACUUCCUCGUUUGCCGGUCAACUGCGUGGUUCUUGGCGGAACACCAGUUGCGAAGGCGGCUCUCUGGACUGUACCUGACACUGAGGCACGAAAGCGUGGGGAGCAAACAGGAUUAGAUACCCCAGUAGUC
rnacentral:rRNA from 1 species